AACUUUUGGCAAUGGAUCUCUUGGUUCUGGCAUCGAUGAAGAACGCAGCGAAAUGCGAUAAGUAAUGUGAAUUGCCGAAUUCCGUGGAUCAUCGAAUCUUUGAACGCAUAUUGCACCCUCUGGUAUUCCGGGGGGCAUGCCUGUCCGAGCGUCAUUAUCAUCCUUCAAGCACUUAAGCUUGUGUUGUGCCUAUUUUGUUCUUUUUUAAUGAACAGGCUUGAAAUGCAGUGGCGAUGCCGAGUUUGGUGCCCAAGCAUUAUAGGGCUUUGUCACAUGCUUUGGUGGCCCACACCGGUAAUAUUCUGCCUAGCUAUAUAUUUAAUGACGAUUGACCUCGGAUCAGGCAAGAAUACCCGCUGAACUUAAGCAUAUCAAUAAGCGGAGGAU
rnacentral:misc_RNA from 1 species